CGCGCGAGUGGUGAAAUUGGCAGACACGCAGGAUUUAGGUUCCUGUGCCUUCGGGCGUGGGGGUUCAAGUCCCCCUUGCGCAC
rnacentral:tRNA from 3 species